GACGAACGCUGGCGGCGUGCUUAACACAUGCAAGUCGAACGGAAAGGCCUGCUUUCCCUUGUGGAUUGCGGGUACUCGAGUGGCGAACGGGUGAGUAACACGUGAGUGAUCUGCCCCCAACUUGGGUAUAAGCCUGGGAAACUGGGUCUAAUUCCCGAUAGGACUGCAGGGUGGUGCCUGUGGUGGAAAACGAUUUUCUAGUGGUUGGGGAUGAGCUCGCGGCCUAUCAGCUUGUUGGUGGGGUAAUGGCCUACCAAGGCGGGGACGGGUAGCCGGCCUGGGAGGGUGGACGGUGACAUUGGGAAUGGGAGACGGCCCAGACGCCUGCGGGGGGCAGGAGUGGGGAAGAUUGCACAGUGGGCGGAAGCCUGAGGCAGCGACGCCGCGUGGGGGAUGACGGCCUUCGGGUUGUAAACUCCUUUCGACCGCGAGGAAGCCACCUGGUUGGAAGGGUGGUGACGGUAGUGGUAGAAGAAGCACCGGCUAACUACGUG
rnacentral:rRNA from 1 species